rnacentral:rRNA from 1 species
AUUGAACGCUGGCGGCAGGCCUAACACAUGCAAGUCGAACGAGUGGCGGACGGGUGAGUAAUGUCUGGGAAACUGCCCGAUGGAGGGGGAUAACUACUGGAAACGGUAGCUAAUACCGCAUACCAUCGGAUGUGCCCAGAUGGGAUUAGCUAGUAGGUGGGGUAAUGGCUCACCUAGGCGACGAUCCCUAGCUGGUCUGAGAGGAUGACCAGCCAAACUGGAACUGAGACACGUGCCGGAUGCCAACGGGGGCCAGCAGUGGGGAAUAUUGCAAAAUGGGGGCAGGCCUGAUGAAGCCAGGCCGCGUGUAUGAAGAAGGCCUUCGGGUUGUAAAGUACUUUCAGCGGGGAGGCGUUACCCGCAGAGGAAGCACCGGCUAACUCCGUGCCAGCAGCCGCGGUAAUAC